GGGGGAUAUUGCACAAUGGGGGAAACCCUGAUGCAGCGACGCCGCGUGGAGGAAGAAGGUUUUCGGAUUGUAAACUCCUGUCGUUAGGGACGAUAAUGACGGUACCUAACAAGAAAGCACCGGCUAACUACGUGCCAGCAGCCGCGGUAAAACGUAGGGUGCAAGCGUUGUCCGGAAUUACUGGGUGUAAAGGGAGCGCAGGCGGGAAGACAAGUUGGAAGUGAAAACCAUGGGCUCAACCCAUGAAUUGCUUUCAAAACUGUUUUUCUUGAGUAGUGCAGAGGUAGAUGGAAUUCCCGGUGUAGCGGUGGAAUGCGUAGAUAUCGGGAGGAACACCAGUGGCGAAGGCGGUCUACUGGGCACCAACUGACGCUGAGGCUCGAAAGCAUGGGUAGCAAACAGGAUUAGAUACCCUGGUAGUCCAUGCCGUAAACGAUGAUUACUAGGUGUUGGGGGAUUGACCCCCUCAGUGCCGCAGUUAACACAAUAAGUAAUCCACCUGGGGAGUACGACCGCAAGGUUGAAACUCAAAGGAAUUGACGGGGGCCCGCACAAGCAGUGGAGUAUGUGGUUUAAUUCGAAGCAACGCGAAGAACCUUACCAGGUCUUGACAUCCGAUGCAUAGCACAGAGAUGUGUGAAAUCCUUCGGGACAUCGAGACAGGUGGUGCAUGGUUGUCGUCAGCUCGUGUCGUGAGAUGUUGGGUUAAGUCCCGCAACGAGCGCAACCCUUAUUGCCAGUUACUACGUUAAGAGGACUCUGGCGAGACUGCCGUUGACAAAACGGAGGAAGGUGGGGAUGACGUCAAAUCAUCAUGCCCUUUAUGACCUGGGCUACACACGUACUACAAUGGCGUUAAACAAAGAGAAGCAAGACCGCGAGGUGGAGCAAAACUCAAAAACAACGUCUCAGUUCAGAUUGCAGGCUGCAACUCGCCUGCAUGAAGUCGGAAUUGCUAGUAAUCGCGGAUCAGCAUGCCGCGGUGAAUACGUCCCCG
rnacentral:rRNA from 1 species